GACGAACGCUGGCGGCGUGCUUAACACAUGCAAGUCGAACGGUGAAGCUCCAAGCUUGCUUGGGGUGGAUCAGUGGCGAACGGGUGAGUAACACGUGAGCAACCUGCCCCGGACUCUGGAAUAAGCGCUGGAAACGGCGUCUAAUACUGGAUAUGACAUCUGGCUGCCUGGCUGGGUGUGGAAAGUUUUUCGGUCCGGGAUGGGCUCGCGGCCUAGCAGCUUGUUGGUGAGGUAAUGGCUUACCAAGGCGACGACGGGUAGCCGGCCUGAGAGGGCGACCGGCCACACUGGGACUGAGACACGGCCCAGACUCCUACGGGAGGCAGCAGUGGGGAAUAUUGCAUAAUGGGCGAAAGCCUGAUGCAGCGACGCCGCGUGAGGGAUGACGGCCUUCGGGUUGUAAACCUCUUUCAGCAGGGAAGAAGCUUUUGUGACGGUACCCGCAGAAGAAGUCCCGGCUAAAUACGUGCCAGCAGCCGCCGUAA
rnacentral:rRNA from 1 species